rnacentral:rRNA from 1 species
GAUGAACGCUGGCGGCGUGCCUAAUACAUGCAAGUAGAACGCUGAAGGAGGAGCUUGCUCUUCUGGAUGAGUUGCGAACGGGUGAGUAACGCGUAGGUAACCUGCCUGGUAGCGGGGGAUAACUAUUGGAAACGAUAGCUAAUACCGCAUGACAACAGUUAUUGCAUGAUAACUGUUUAAAAGGGGCAACUGCUCCACUACCAGAUGGACCUGCGUUGUAUUAGCUAGUUGGUGAGGUAACGGCUCACCAAGGCGACGAUACAUAGCCGACCUGAGAGGGUGAUCGGCCACACUGGGACGGAGACACGGCCCAGACUCCUACGGGAGGCAGCAGUAGGGAAUCUUCGGCAAUGGACGGAAGUCUGACCGAGCAACGCCGCGUGAGUGAAGAAGGUUUUCGGAUCGUAAAGCUCUGUUGUAAGAGAAGAACGAGUGUGAGAGUGGAAAGUUCACACUGUGACGGUAUCUUACCAGAAAGGGACGGCUAACUACGUG